CUUCAUCGAUACAACUCAAGAUAGCAUUGGUUGCCUUGGAAUUAUAAUCUGCUUUUCGUACUUCUUCAUCACUCCACUUCUCUUUUGGCGUUUGAAUGAUCUCGUGUGACUCAUUCAUUGAGGUAGGAGGUGUCCAACCAAUUAGAAUCGCGCGCCAGGCCCAUUCAUCAAUAGAUUUGAUGAACAUCUUCAUCCUUAUUUUCCAAUCAGAGUAGUUUAAUUCACCCAAGAGAGGUGGUAGGAAUGCGCCUUC
rnacentral:lncRNA from 1 species